GUGUACACUUACCACCGUGCAUGUCUGUUAUUACCACCAGUACAUCCACCAGUCCACUGUGGCUUUGAGGUUGUAUGUUCCUUUUGUUUAGGUUUAUGAAGGUAAACUAGCGAUCAGUACUUCCAGAGAACAUUACUGAAGAAAGUCUGGAAGGGCUGGCAUUCUCUCAUACAAAGGCAGUGGAAAGAAGUGGUAGAGCGAGCUUGUCAAGCAAGAGCUGAAGAAGUUUGCAUCCAGAUUUCCAAUGAUUAUGAGACCAAAGUUGCUAUGUUAUCUGGUGCUUUGGAAAAUGCAAAAGCCAAGAUUCAGAAAAUGCAAAAAGAGAAAGAACACUUUGAAGAUUCCAUGAAGAAAGCAUUCAUGAGGGGGUAUGUGCAUUAAAUCUAGAAGUCAUGACUAUAUUUCAGAACAGAAAUGAUGC
rnacentral:lncRNA from 1 species